rnacentral:misc_RNA from 1 species
GAUGAAGAACGUAGUGAAUUGCGAUAUGUAAUGUGAAUUGCAGAAUUCAGUGAAUCAUCGAAUCUUUGAACGCACAUUGCACCCUCUGGUAUUCCGGAGGGUAUGCCUGUUUGAGUGUCAUUAAAUAUAUCAACACAGACGAGUUGUCCGUAACUCGCUCUGCUGCUUGGAGGUUGAAGGCUGCUGGCGUCAUCACCGUCAGCUCCUUUCAAAUGCAUGAGCAGGAACAGCAAAGAACUGGCUUCAGUUUGAUAAGAUUGAACUGCUGCUAGCAUCUGACUCAUCAUGUUCCAGCUUCUAACGGUCCAGUGAACUGGACUGCCUCAUGCUUGAGGCAAGAUUUCAUUGACAAUUUGGCCUCAAAUCAGGUAGGACUACCCGCUGAACUUAAGCAUAUCAAUAAGCGGAGGA